rnacentral:rRNA from 1 species
AGCGAACGCUAGCGGCGGGCUUAACACAUGCAAGUCGAGCGCUUCACUUCGGUGAAGAGCGGCGGACGGGUGAGUAACACGUAGGUUACCUGCCCCUGGGUGAGGGACAACCGAGGGAAACCUCGGCUAAUACCACAUAUGGUCUACGGAUCAAAGGCUUCGGCCGCCCGGGGAUGGGCCUGCGUCCCAUUAUUUAAUCCUAGUUGGCGGGGUAACGGCCCACCAAGGGUACGAUGGGUAGCUGGUCUGAGAGGAUGAUCAGCCACACUGGAACUGAGACACGGUCCAGACUCCUACGGGAGGCAGCAGUGGGGAAUAUUGCGCAAUGGGCGAAAGCCUGACGCAGCCACGCCGCGUGAGUGAUGAAGGCCCCAGGGUCGUAAAGCUCUGUCGGGGGGAGGAAGUCUUGACGGUACCCCCGAACCGAAAGACACCGGACCGUAACUACCGUCGCACG